AUCUUAAUUGAUUAGCACGAUAAAGUAACAAGCUGUUUUAUAAGUCAUUUUUUCAUACUAACGCAUUUAGAAAGUGACAUUAUUACCAGAGCUAACUGAUCAAAAGGAGUAUCUCUAAUACAAACCAGCAUGGAAGCUGUCUCUUGCACUAGAUGACUAUCAUCUGCACAGAAUUAUUAAUGCCGUCACUGCUGAACAUAGGACUCCCACCUCGCUCUGCUGGAGGCGACCUGCAUCCGACGGAAUUC